rnacentral:rRNA from 1 species
UACGUAGGGUGCAAGCGUUAAUCGGAAUUACUGGGCGUAAAGCGUGCGCAGGCGGUUUUGUAAGUUUGUCGUGAAAUCCCCGGGCUCAACCUGGGAAUGGCGUGAAGACUGCAAGGCUAGAAUCUGGCAGAGGGGGGUAGAAUUCCACGUGUGAGCAGUGAAAUGCGUAGAGAUGUGGAGGAACACCGAUGGCGCAAGGCAGCCCCCUGGGAUCG